CGUUCCCAGGCCUUGUACACACCGCCCGUCACAUCAUGAAAGCCGCUUGUACCCGAAGUCGCCCUUGAAAAGGUGCCGAAGGUAUGGGUGGUGAUUGGGAUG
rnacentral:rRNA from 1 species